rnacentral:snRNA from 22 species
AUACUUACCUUGGAGGGAAGUUCGCGAUCAUGAAGGCGAUACUUCUGAGAAGACUUGAUGCAUUGCACAGCGCGUACAAGACUUCUCAUGGAUGUCCUUCGGGGCCUCCACUUCUGCAAUUUUUUCUCUCACACUUUGUGUUCAUCACAUUGUA